CAGCAGCCGCGGGAAUACGGAGGGAGCUAGCGUUGUUCGGAAUUACUGGGCGCAAAGCGCGCGUAGGCGGUUACUCAAGUCAGAGGUGAAAGCCCGGGGCUCAACCCCGGAACUGCCUUUGAAACUAGGUGACUAGAAUCUUGGAGAGGUCAGUGGAAUUCCGAGUGUAGAGGUGAAAUUCGUAGGUAUUCGGAAGAACACCAGUGGCGAAGGCGACUGACUGGACAAGUAUUGACGCUGAGGUGCGAAAGCGUGGGGAGCAAACAGGAUUAGAUACCCCUGUAGUCCCUGUCUCUUAUAC
rnacentral:rRNA from 1 species